AAAACGACUCUCGACAACGGAUAUCUCGGCUCUCGCAUCGAUGAAGAACGUAGCGAAAUGCGAUACUUGGUGUGAAUUGCAGAAUCCCGUGAACCAUCGAGUCUUUGAACGCAAGUUGCGCCCGAAGCCGUCAGGAUGAGGGCACGCCUGCCUGGGCGUCACGC
rnacentral:rRNA from 1 species